rnacentral:rRNA from 1 species
UACAGAGGGCGCAAACGUUGUUCGGAAUUACUGGGCAUAAAGGGCACGUAGGUGGUUCGCUAAGUUACGUGUGAAAUCCCCCGGCUCAACCGGGGAAUUGCGCGUGAUACUGGCGGACUCGAGGCGGGUAGGGGUGAGCGGAACUCCAGGUGGAGCGGUGAAAUGCGUAGAUAUCUGGAGGAACACCGGUGGCGAAAGCGGCUCACUGGACCGCAACUGACGCUGAGGAGCGAAAGCAUGGGGAGCGAACAGG